CCAGUCCCUGCCUUGGGCCACCGGCCUUUGGGUUCUCACGAUCUCCACCCUCCACACUAGCUGCUCUCUCUGAUCCACUGCUAGUUUCUUCUUUCAACAGACCCACUGGAAUCCUUGGGUCGGUGAGGCACUGCACUGGAGUUUUCAAGGUCUGAUCCUGCUCUGGCCUCCCCACCGCUCCCUUCCCGCGCUGCCUGGGGCUUGGAGUCCAGACACACCUGCAAGCACCGCUACUUGGCCGGAACAGCUGAAGAAGGGGAGGGUCCUGGAGGAGGAACACUUGCACUGAGGCUUGAGGUACACAACCCAAGAUGAAGCCACAUGCUCAAGGUCACGUAAGCGGCUGUGCCGAGAUGCAAACCCGGGUGUCGUGACUCCAAGAUGUGUGUUCUUUCUGCCACAUCAUUUAUCAUCACUGUUAUUCUCACCUCAGGAGGUCUGGGGGCCUGGGGUCAAGGAUGACUGGGACCCCGGUCUACCUGCCAGGAGCUCUGAGGUCCAGGUGUAACCACCAUGCGAAACGGGAGGAAACUAGCAGUAUGAUCCCAAGCCCCCUUUGAGAAUCUGACAGGAGCCCCAGGGUGGAAGGGGAAGCUACUCUUUCCCGGGAGGGGAAACGAUGGAUGCGACUGCUUGGACCUGAGGAUACAUGUGUUACGUUCACUGGCAGGAGAUGAAAAGGCACACACGCAGCUCCUCCUGGCCUCCCUGGAGCAGCCUAGCAUCCUGGCCCCUGCUCUGCUCACCUGUGCUGGGAGCGCUGAACCUCCUACCACCUUCGGGCAGGAGCCUCCUCAGGAAUUCCAGGGAAAGGAGGAACAGUCAGACCAAGAUCUGGCUGGGGCAUGGCCGCGCUCCCCCAGGCAUGCGAAUAUCAAGUACCAACACAACUGCAGCCUGUCUCCUAAGGACACAACACAGAGGUCUAUAAAUCCAGCCCCGGAACAGAUGAACCUCUCCUCCAGGCCACCUGCGGGCUGCAUUCUUGUUUGAAUCCCUCCUCCAGGAAUGUCCCUGCCUCAGUCAAGUCUGGACCCAGCUCAUCUGUGUGGAGCCGCCAGUCUCCUGCUGAUGCAACUUGUUCUGCUCUUGUUAGAACAGCCAGAAGCAAAGGGGAAAAGCUUCUGGGAAGGAAGCACCUUCCCAGUCGGGUUCCCACAGUGUUGCCCUGAGCUCUCGCAGGCUGCUUCUCCCGCAGCCUCUUUGCCCUUCUCUGUUAGGAGAGAUGCAGUCUGCAUGCUGAGAUGAGAGGUCUGGGAAUGGAGAGACUGACCCGGGGCUGGACUCCUGCAGCUAGGAGUAGGGCAGGUGUGUUUGCUCCUGUCCCCACUGCUGCUCCUGCCCGAGGACAGGUCAUCAGCUCUCACUGCAGUCACUCCAGGAGUCACCAGCCCUCCCUGCCUCCAUCUUGCCUUCCUUCAAUUCUGCGCAAAUCUGAUCUCGAUACUCUCAGGGCCAAAAUCUCAGAGGCUUUCCACUGACCACUGAGACAGCUGGUCAGGAUAGUCAAGAGCGCAGGUCUGGUUUUGUUUUUUUUCCUUAUUCAAAAGGAGUUUAUGAACCAGUGGGAAAGACAGGGCUGUGUACAAAUAUCUCAAUAUUUAGUAUAAUUAUUAUGAUGUGAGAAAGCCAAAAAGAGGUUUAAAACAUCUGCUAUACUUAUUUAAAACAUAUACAUGGAAGACCUACCCUCAAAAUGUUCACAUGCAUAGUACUUAAAACGGAGAAUGAGCAAGGUGUCAUACUAAGAAAACUCGAAGUAAAGUGAAGAAGAGCUUGAAAAGAGGGCUAUUUACAGAUGUAAAUAUUUCAGAAUUAAUUAACCCAGAUCAACGAAACAACAAAUACACAAGUAUCUGUUACAUAUAAACCAUGUACUUUUUGUACAAAUGUAUUCUAUAAUAUUUCAGGCAAUGAAUAACCCUCAAAAUACUGAUUGCAUUCAUACAAGAGACCUUUAUGAACAUCCAGUCCAGUCCCCUCCUAAAGAAACCCAAGGACCUGAGAGGUUUGUUUUCUUAUCCAAUCCAUUUCUUCUGAGGGAUCCAGCUGCCACCAUCCCUCCCCAACAACUCGGUCUUCAAUCCUCAGUCAUUCCUAGGAACCAAGCAACACCAAUAUGUGGCUUCUGUGCAGAUCCAGCCACAACUGCACCCUUCCCAUCCUUGCUUGUGGAUUGGGCUGCCCUCAAAUUCCGUGAUUCUGUUUUUGAACCCUAACAACUAACUCUGUAUCCGUAAGAGAGUUCUUUGUCCUUCAAAGUCACGUUAUCAUCUAUAAAAUAUGAGAAAGAAGACUAGUCCCUUCUUCAUAGCGUUUCUAUGCUAUGACAAUUAAAAGUCACGCACAUGAUAUGUUUGGUAGAAAGUCAGCUCGUUGUCUUCUAUUAUUAGUGUGCAGGACGAAGUCCAAGCACCUUGAUGUGACUCUGGCUUACAAGACCCUUCACCGUCUGUCCCUUGUCUACCCAGCUUCACUUCCAACCAUUGGUACUACAUGCAUGGGCAGGCUCAUCCCUAAGAUUUGUGGGGCCAGGGACAAAAUUACAAGUGGAUGUCCACAUACCACAUGUUUAAAUUUUAGAUUCUAAUCAAGGUAUCAAGCUAUUAAAUAAAAUAUAUUCUAUCCUC